rnacentral:misc_RNA from 1 species
CACGUACUGUGCGAACGUUAUUCGGAAUCACUGGGCUUACAGGGUGCGUAGGCGGCCGACCAGGUCGGGUGUGAAAGGCCCUGGCUCAACCAGGGCACUGCGCCCGAAACCGGUCGGCUCGAGUCAGCUAGGGGUCCGCGGAACUUCCGGUGGAGCGGUGAAAUGUGUUGAUAUCGGAAGGAACGCCGGUGGCGAAAGCGGCGGACUGGGGCUCGACUGACGCUGAGGCACGAAAGCCAGGGGAGCGAACGGG